rnacentral:rRNA from 1 species
UGACGGCGACCGGCGAACGGGUGCGUAAACGCGUAUAGAAUCUGCCUUGUACAGGAGGAUAGCCUUUAGAAAUGAAGAUUAAUACUCCAUAAUGCUGAGAGAUGGCAUCAUUUUUUAGUUAAAGAUUUAUCGGUACAAGAUGACUAUGCGUCCUAUUAGCUAGAUGGUAAGGUAACGGCUUACCAUGGCAACGAUAGGUAGGGGGUCUGAGAGGAUUAUCCCCCACACUGGUACUGAGACACGGACCAGACUCCUACGGGAGGCAGCAGUGAGGAAUAUUGGUCAAUGGGCGCAAGCCUGAACCAGCCAUGCCGCGUGCAGGAUGACUGCCCUAUGGGUUGUAAACUGCUUUUAUACAGGAAGAAACAGUCCCUCGUGAGGGGCCUUGACGGUACUGUAAGAAUAAGCACCGGCUAACUCCGUGCCAGCAGCCGCGGUAAUACGGAGGGUGCAAGCGUUAUCCGGAAUCAUUGGGUUUAAAGGGUCCGCAGGCGGUCAAUUAAGUCAGAGGUGAAAUCCUACAGCUUAACUGUAGAACUGCCUUUGAUACUGGUUGACUUGAGUUAUACGGAAGUAGGUAGAAUGUGUAGUGUAGCGGUGAAAUGCAUAGAUAUUACACAGAAUACCGAUUGCGAAGGCAGCCUACUACGUAUAUACUGACGCUCAUGGACGAAAGGCGUGGGGGAGCGAACAGGAUUAGAUACCCUGGUAGUCCACGCCGUAAACGAUGGGACACUAGUUGUUGGG